UUCCAGUGACUGUCAGGGUUUCUAUGAUGAACUCUGCAUAUUUUAGAAGGUCACAACAGGCGAUUUGACCACUGCUAAAUGGUACCAUUUGGAAUGUAGCCUGAAGAGUCCCACAAACUUAAAUGCAACCAUAGAUCAGGAUAGAGUAUUUUUAAAGAUCGUGUAAACACCAUUAAGAAGACACGGAGGGACUUGAACAUUAGAGGAGGAUCUUGCCACUAUAUGAAGAACUCUAAGCAGUUAAAAAAUGUUGAGAAAAGUCUAGGUUGGCUUCGAACUCAAGACUGUCCCUUCUUCACUUCACAAGCAUUAGGAUGACAAAUUAGUGCAACAAUGCACCCUGCAUACUCCCUUCUUUUAAGAGCAAAUGAAAUCAAGGAAAGCUUGGUUAUAUCUUCAGCAAAAAGGAAAGUGUAUGUACUGGUCACUGAGACAGAAAGAGCUCUAAUCAUCGAGUUUCCCACCAGAAUGGGGUCACCUCAGCUGAAAUACUCUACAAACAAGGAAGUGCUGAGGCAGCAGAUUGGCUUCCUUCGUGCUUUUUCCCCUAUUAAAAUCAGUUUGAGAUAAAUUGCAAAAUAAAUAAAUGUCAAGUAACAAUU